CAAACCUUUUGGACCGGUUGUUUCGUUAACAAUUAUGCAAACGUAAUUAUUUGGUCCAUAACGCUUUUAUAAAUAUUUGGUAUGUAAUUUUUUUUCUAAAGUGCUUUCGUUCGAAAUUGAUUUGUCAGUAUGUUUUUCCGAAAAUGAUUUUAACACAUGAUUGUCCGGCUUUAUGCGUAGGAACACUUGCAACAACAAAUGCAUUACAUAAAUCUUCAAAAAAUACAUAUUUACCAUUCG